GAUGAACGCUGGCGGCGUGCCUAAUACAUGCAAGUCGAGCGAACAGACGAGGAGCUUGCUCCUCUGACGUUAGCGGCGGCCGGGUGAGUAACACGUGGAUAACCUACCUAUAAGACUGGGAUAACUUCGGGAAACCGGAGCUAAUCCCGGAUAAUAUAUUGAACCGCAUGGUUCAAUAGUGAAAGACGGUUUUGCUGUCACUUAUAGAUGGAUCCGCGCCGCAUUAGCUAGUUGGUAAGGUAACGGCUUGCCAAGGCAACUAUGCGUAGCCGACCUGAGAGGGUGAUCGGCCACACUGGAACUGAGACACGGUCCAGACUCCUACGGGAGGCAGCAGUAGGGAAUCUUCCGCAGUGGGCGAAAGCCUGACGGAGCAACGCCGCGUGAGUGAUGAAGGUCUUCGGAUCGUAAAACUCUGUUAUUAGGGAAGAACAAAUGUGUAAGUAACUAUGCACGUCUUGACGGUACCUAAUCAGAAAGCCACGGCUAACUACGUG
rnacentral:rRNA from 1 species